UACGUAGGGGGCAAGCGUUGUCCGGAUUUAUUGGGCGUAAAGAGCGUGUAGGCGGCUUUACAGGUCCGUUGUGAAAACUCGAGGCUCAACCUCGAGACGCCGGUGGAAACCGUAAGGCUAGAGUCCGGAAGAGGAGAGUGGAAUUCCUGGUGUAGCGGUGAAAUGCGCAGAUAUCAGGAGGAACACCCGUGGCGAAAGCGGCUCUCUGGGACGGUACUGACGCUGAGACGCGAAAACGUGGGGAGCAAACAGG
rnacentral:rRNA from 1 species